rnacentral:pre_miRNA from 1 species
CACCGUACAGCAGGAUGCCGUGCUCUUUUUCUGUGAUGCAAACGCCUCCGGCUGAUCGGCAG